AGAGUUUGAUCCUGGCUCAGAAUCAACGCUGGCGGCGUGCCUAACACAUGCAAGUCGAACGAGAAAGUCCUGGCAACGGGAUGAGUAAAGUGGCAGACGGGUGAGUAACACGUGAACAACUUACCCUUGAGUGUGGAAUAACCCCGCGAAAGCGGGGCUAAUACCGCAUAACAUCCUCGGAUCGCAUGAUCCGGGGAUCAAAGGCGAAAGUCGCUCGAGGAGAGGUUCGCGCCUGAUUAGCUAGUUGGUGAGGUAACGGCCCACCAAGGCAACGAUCAGUAGCCGGCCUGAGAGGGCGAACGGCCACACUGGAACUGAGACACGGUCCAGACUCCUACGGGAGGCAGCAGUGGGGAAUUUUGCGCAAUGGGCGAAAGCCUGACGCAGCAACGCCGCGUGGAGGAUGAAGGCCUUCGGGUCGUAAACUCCUGUCAGGGGGGACGAAUACCUUAACCGGUUUGACUGUACCCCUUGAGGAAGCCACGGCUAACUCCGUGCCAGCAGCCGCGGUAAUACGGAGGUGGCAAGCGUUGUUCGGAAUUACUGGGCGUAAAGGGCGCGUAGGCGGCAUGGCAAGUCAGAUGUGAAAGUCCCGGGCUUAACUCGGGAAUUGCAUCUGAAACUGCUUUGCUUGAGUCCUGGAGGGGGUAGUGGAAUUCCCAGUGUAGCGGUGAAAUGCGUAGAUAUUGGGAGGAACACCUGUGGCGAAGGCGGCUACCUGGACAGUGACUGACGCUGAUGCGCGAAAGCUAGGGGAGCAAACGGGAUUAGAUACCCCGGUAGUCCUAGCCGUAAACGAUGGGCACUUGGUGUCGGGGGUAUUGAGUCCCCCGGUGCCGGAGUUAAUACGUUAAGUGCCCCGCCUGGGGAGUACGGUCGCAAGACUGAAACUCAAAGGAAUUGACGG
rnacentral:rRNA from 1 species